GGGUAUGAGUGUUUGUUUGGUGUGGGUGUGUGUGUGCCUGUGUGUUGAGCAAGGAAGAGGAAGAUGAGAUCCAUCCCCCAAGAAUGAGGUGGCCCAGAUCCCAAGGAAGAAAUGAGGCAUGAGCCACAUAACUUUUGGGUAAUGAAGCAGGACUGUGAAGAACCAGGAGGCCUCUAAGACCUCCAAUGCAGCCAGAGCUUCCUGGAAUGCAAAUGUGAUGUCUGGAGCUCUGGUAGCCCUCUUAGAUCAAGAGAUGAAGGCACUUACCAGCAUUAAGAUUGUCAAAGAAGAGCUGGAAGGUACUUGGAUUGCUGAAGAGUUCAUGAAGCAACUAUCAGCCAGGACUUCCCACUUUUAGUUUUGUUGACAGAACAAAAUCUUGUUUGUGUAAA